rnacentral:piRNA from 1 species
ACUGGGCACGAGGAAUAAAAAGA